rnacentral:lncRNA from 1 species
GGCGAUAGAGGAGUUCCCUCUUGGAACGGGAUUGGAUCGAGAUAGGUAAUGAGGCGCGAAUCAUUGUUUCUGGCAAGAGCUAGUGGCUUCAUGUUAGGCCAAUAGAUGAAUCUGCCUUGCGGAGUAGAUGUGAUUACCAGGGCUGAUAAAGGCGUCUCCUCGUCCGAGGAGUAGUCAAGGUCCUUGAUCCCAUCCGAGUUGGAUUGGAAUCUGGACAUGGCCGCCUGAUAGACAGUGG